rnacentral:rRNA from 1 species
UAGUUUAUGAAAUUUACAAAUAUUUUUUAUUGUGGGAGAAUACGUUAAUUCUUUUAUGAAAAUAUUCUACACAGGUGUUGCAUGGCUGUUGUAAGUCCGUGGCACUAUCCCGUCUUUACACAAAUAUGUGUAUCUUACGGACAUCCUCCCUACCAAAAUUCUCUAAAAGUUUGUUUUUAUUUUGGAGCGAAAAACUCUCAUGAGUUUUUCCUUAAUAUGGGUUCACGUCAAGUCAUCAUGGCCCUUAUGUAUUGGGAUACACCUGUACUACAAUGGAAUGUACAGUUUGUUGCAAUAAACUUUCUUUGAUAUUUAGAAUAAAAAAGAAAAAAAUAUUUUUGCAAAUCAAUAAAACAUUCCACAAUUCAGAUCAUAUCCUGCAAUUCGGGUAUGUGAAGCCGGAAUCAUGAGUAAUCGUAGGUUAGCUUACUACGGUGAAACUUAAAAAUUUCUCUAGAGUACACACCGCCUGUCACGUUGGGAAAAUUGUAUGGGCUAGAAAAAAGCGACAAUUAUUGUUUAAUCCACAUUUACAAAAGACCAUGGAUUCUUUUAUGCGACUUUUUGAAGAAUAGUUUUUUCUUUUGAAAGCUUAUAUGGUGAUUUCAAUGAAGUCAUAACAAGGUUGUUCUACGGGAACGUGGAGCAGGAAUGAAUAAUUUUUUAUUUAUAAGAUAUAGAAUUUUUAUAGUUUUGUUCAAUUGUUAUUUUUAAUACUUGUUAUUUUUUUGCACACCCCGCUCUUCCCCGCGUCUAAAGGGGGGCGAGGAGGGGGAAGGGCCCAUCAACACAUGAAAAGUGUUGUUCAUAUU